UGGGGAAUAUUGCACAAUGGGCGCAAGCCUGAUGCAGCCAUGCCGCGUGUAUGAAGAAGGCCUUCGGGUUGUAAAGUACUUUCAGUCGGGAGGAAGGUGGUAAGGUUAAUAACCUUAUCAAUUGACGUUACCGACAGAAGAAGCACCGGCUAACUCCGUGCCAGCAGCCGCGGUAAUACGGAGGGUGCAAGCGUUAAUCGGAAUUACUGGGCGUAAAGCGCACGCAGGCGGUUGAUUGAGUCAGAUGUGAAAUCCCCGGGCUUAACCCGGGAAUUGCAUCUGAUACUGGUCAGCGAGAGUCUUGUAGAGGGGGGUAGAAUUCCAUGUGUAGCGGUGAAAUGCGUAGAGAUGUGGAGGAAUACCGGUGGCGAAGGCGGCCCCCUGGACAAAGACUGACGCUGAGGUGCGAAAGCGUGGGGAGCAAACAGG
rnacentral:rRNA from 1 species